CUUCCUACGGGAGGCAGUAGUGGGGGAUAUUGGACAAUGGGGGAAACCCUGAUCCAGCGAUGCCGCGUGAGGGAAGAAGGUUUUCGGAUUGUAAACCUCUGUGGACAGGGACGAUAAUGACGGUACCUGUCGAAUAAGCCACGGCUAACUACGUGCCAGCAGCCGCGGUAAUACGUAGGUGGCAAGCGUUGUCCGGAUUUACUGGGUGUAAAGGGCGUGUAGCCGGGUUGACAAGUCAGAUGUGAAAUCCUGCGGCUUAACCGCAGAACUGCAUUUGAAACUGUUGAUCUUGAGUACUGGAGAGG
rnacentral:rRNA from 1 species